GACGAACGCUGGCGGCGUGCUUAACACAUGCAAGUCGAACGGAAAGGCCCGGCUUUUGUGGGGUGCUCGAGUGGCGAACGGGUGAGUAACACGUGAGUAACCUGCCCUUGACUUUGGGAUAACUUCAGGAAACUGGGGCUAAUACCGGAUAGGAGCUCCUGCUGCAUGGGGGGGGUUGGAAAGUUUCGGCGGUUGGGGAUGGACUCGCGGCUUAUCAGCUUGUUGGUGGGGUAGUGGCUUCCCAAGGCUUUGACGGGUAGCCGGCCUGAGAGGGUGACCGGCCCCAUUGGCCUUCGGGAGGGCCCCGGACCCCUCCGGGCGCAAGGGGGGGGAACUUUUCCCAACAGCGCCGAGUGCGGGAUGAACAUCGCCGGGUCGUAGAUCUCGGCUUUUGGGUUAGAACCCCUUUUUGCUUAUCCGUGCGCAUCGUGACGGUACCUGGUCAGAAAGCCACGGCUAACUACGUG
rnacentral:rRNA from 1 species